rnacentral:rRNA from 1 species
CAGUCGCCGCGGUAAUACGUAGGUGGCGAGCGUUGUCCGGAAUUAUUGGGCGUAAAGGGAGCGCAGGCGGACAUAUAAGUCCAUCUUGAAAGUGCGGGGCUCAACCCCGUGAGGGGAUGGAAACUGUAUGCCUUGAGUGCAGGAGAGGAAAGCGGAAUUCCCAGUGUAGCGGUGAAAUGCGUAGAUAUUGGGAGGAACACCAGUGGCGAAGGCGGCUUUCUGGACUGCAACUGACGCUGAGGCUCGAAAGCCAGGGGAGCGAACGGGAUUAGAUACCCCUGUAGUCCCUGUCUCUUAUACA